CACCUAUGAAGACCAGCAGUGGAGACCCCCCAAGCCCACUGGUGAAACAGCUGAGUGAAGUAUUUGAAACUGAAGACUCUAAAUCAAAUCUUCCCCCAGAGCCUGUUCUGCCCCCAGAGGCACCUUUAUCUUCUGAAUUGGACUUGCCUCUGGGUACCCAGUUAUCUGCUGAGGAACAGAUGCCACCUUGGAACCAGACUGAGUUCCCCUCCAAACAGGUGUUUUCCAAGGAGGAAGCAAGACAGCCCACAGAAACCCCUGUGGCCAGCCAGAGCUCCGACAAGCCCUCAAGGGACCCUGAGACUCCCAGAUCUUCAGAUGGAAACCAAACAGCAGCAAGGUACUAGGGAGAUCCCCCCUCACCAUCCUGCAGGAUGACAACUCCCCUGGCACCCUGACACUACGACAGGGUAAGCGGCCUUCACCCCUAAGUGAAAAUGUUAGUGAACUAAAG
rnacentral:sRNA from 1 species